rnacentral:rRNA from 1 species
UGAUGCGGUCAUACCAGCACUAACGCACCGGAUCCCAUCAGAACUCCGAAGUUAAGCGUGCUUGGGCGAGAGUAGUACUAGGAUGGGUGACCCCCUGGGAAGUCCUCGUGUUGCAUCCC